rnacentral:rRNA from 1 species
GGGAUUGCCUCAGUAACGGCGAGUGAAGCGGCAACAGCUCAAAUUUGAAAUCUGGCCCUUUUAGGGUCCGAGUUGUAAUUUGUAGAGAGUGUUUCGGGUGAGACCACGGUCUAAGUCCAUUGGAACAUGGCGUCAUAGAGGGUGAGAAUCCCGUAUGUGACUGUGGAUCGAGCCCAUGUGAAGCCUCUUCGACGAGUCGAGUUGUUUGGGAAUGCAGCUCAAAAUGGGUGGUAAAUUUCAUCUAAAGCUAAAUACUGGCUGGAGACCGAUAGCGCACAAGUAGAGUGAUCGAAAGAUGAAAAGCACUUUGGAAAGAGAGUCAAACAGUACGUGAAAUUGUUGAAAGGGAAGCGCUUGCAACCAGACCUGUCCGUAGGUGAUCAGCCGCUGUUCUCAGUGGUGCACUCGCUCUGCGAUCAGGCCAGCAUCGGUUCGGGCGGCCGGAUAAAGGCCUUGGGAAUGUAGCUUCCUCCGGGGAGUCUUAUAGCCCUCGGUGCAAUGCGGCCAGCCUGGACCGAGGACCGCGCUUCGGCUAGGAUGCUGGCGUAAUGGUUGUAAGCGACCCGUCUUGAAACACGGACCAAGGAGUCUAACAUCUAUGCGAGUGUUUGGGUGUCAAACCCAUGCGCGGAAUGAAAGUGAACGGAGGUGAGAACCCUUAAGGGCGCAUCAUCGACCGAUCCAGAUGUCUUCGGAUGGAUUUGAGUAUGAGCAUAGCUGUUGGGACCCGAAAGAUGGUGAACUAUGCCUGAAUAGGGUGAAGCCAGAGGAAACUCUGGUGGAGGCUCGCAGCGGUUCUGACGUGCAAAUCGAUCGUCAAAUUUGGGUAUAGGGGCGAAAGACUAAUCGAACCAUCUAGUAGCUGGNUCCUG